CAUAUCCUACGGGACGCAGCAGUAGGGAAUUUUCGUCAAUGGGCGCAAGCCUGAACGAGCAAUGCCGCGUGAACGAGGAAGGUCUUCGGAUCGUAAAGUUCUGUUGAAGGGGAAAAAGAGCGGAGAGAGGAAAUGAACUCCGAUUGAUAUUACCCUUCGAGGAAGUCACGGCUAACUACGUGCCAGCAGCCGCGGUAAUACGUAGGUGGCGAGCGUUAUCCGGAAUGAUUGGGCGUAAAGGGUGCGUAGGCGGCCUGCUAAGUCUGGAGUGAAAAGUACCGGCUCAACCGGUACAGGCUCUGGAA
rnacentral:rRNA from 1 species